AUUGAACGCUGGCGGCAGGCCUAACACAUGCAAGUCGGGCGCGCCGCGGACUGGUGUGUAAUGUCUGGGGAUCUGCCUGAUGGCGGGGGAUACCUCCUGGAAACGGUAGCUAAUACCGCAUACCAUCCGAUGAUCCCUUAUGGGAUUAGCUUGUAGGUGAGGUAACGGCUCACCUAGGCGACGAUCCCUAGCUGGUCUGAGAGGAUGAUCAGCCACACUGGGACUGAGAGACGGCCCAGACUCCUACGGGAGGCAGCAGUGGGGAAUAUGGCACAAUGGGAGCAAGCCUGAUGCAGCCAUGCCGCGUGUAUGAAGAAGGCCUUAGGAUUGUAAAGUACUUUCAGCGGGGAGGCGUUACCCGAAGAAGAAGCACCGGCUAACUCCGUGCCAGCAGCCGCGGUAAUAG
rnacentral:rRNA from 1 species